GAUGAACGCUGGCGGCGUGCUUAACACAUGCAAGUCGAACGAGAAAUGGAGACGGAAACCUUCGGGCGGAAGGCUUCAUUUCGAGUGGCGGACGGGUGAGUAACGCGUGGGUAACCUGCCUCAUACAGGGGGAUAACAGUUGGAAACGACUGUUAAUACCGCAUAAGACCACAGCACCGCAUGGUGCGGGGGUAAAAACUCCGGAGGUAUGAGAUGGACCCGCGUUCGAUUAGCCAGUUGGCGGGGUAACGGCCCACCAAAGCGACGAUCGAUAGCCGAUCUGAGAGGAUGACCGGCCACAUUGGGACUGAGACACGGCCCAAACUCCUACGGGAGGCAGCAGUGGGGAAUAUUGCACAAUGGGGGAAACCCUGAUGCAGCGACGCCGCGUGAGUGAAGAAGUACUUCGGUAUGUAAAGCUCUAUCAGCAGGGAAGAAAAUGACGGUACCUGAGUAAGAAGCCCCGGCUAACUACGUG
rnacentral:rRNA from 1 species